GUAAGACACUCUCCUAGAAGAAUAACUAACAACCCGGAGAGCGGAGGAACUGAGCAGCUACUAUGGGAAGAACUCCGUCCUGGCCAGUGAGCGCUCCCUGCGUUUGCUUCCUCCCGGAAAACCCGUGGGAGCAAAACGGAGGCAGAAGGCAGGUUUCCUGGCUGAGCUAAGGCAGCUCCUUCCAGAUCGCUGCGGCUGAGCACCCCUUAAGCUCACUGAGUUUGAUUCGGGGCAGGUGCGGCAGGAGAGUCCUUAAGCAUUGGCAGCAGGCAGCGGAGAGCAAAGGUCAAAGCCAGGCUUCCGGUGGGAUCAGGGGCCCACACCCAGUGGGCUGAGCUGUGGAACCGCGCGGAAGGAGAGCAAAGCUUCUGUUAUCUAAUCAAGAACCAGAUAAGAGCCAGGAGAAAAAGGCAGAAGGUCCAGAAGAGGCAACCUGCAGCUGGUGAGGGAGAAGGCUGUUCAGAACCCUCCACGGAGACAGGACAGAAAUGUGCUUCUCCCAGAUGGUUGCCCUGCCAGUAGAUGGUCCUUCUCUGGAUCCACUUCCUGUUUUUCAGGCUGACCCCAAGUUCUCAGACAAUCCAGGCACAGAUCCUGUCACCAUGCUGCCACCCACUGAUGCACCAAGCUCUCUCCGGACCCACUAGAGUGCGAACACUCCAAACACUGAAUCAAGAAGGUAACCUUCACACAUUCAUAGCCUCCAAAUAUCAUCCUGAAUCAAACAGGCCUGGCCACAAAAACCAGUGGAGAAAUUCAAGACCCUCUCCUCAAAAGUUCACAGAUACGAGGUCCACCUAGGAGACUAGCCUCAAGGAUCCUCUGGGAUCACUGUUUCUUCUGGAAGCCCACUCCUGGGGUGGGGGGGAGAGGGGGUCCCAUGGGCCUGUUCCUAACCUCACAGCUGUGCACACUCGCCGGCUCCUGAGAACCGGAGCCGGAUCAUCAGUGACCCCUCGCCUCCUCCGCCCCCCAUUUCCUGCGCUGGGAUCUCGCGCAGAAGUUGAGCGUUUCCUGUGCCGGGGGGACUUCUCCAACUGGGAGCGGAAAUCCCUGCGCUGGGGCAAGGACGCGUCGUCCACGUUUCCAGCCCCGGGAGCCGAGACUCCUACGACCCACCGGGUUCUUGGCCGGCGCUGCGGCGUGUAGGGAAAGAUGAUUACACUCGAAAGGAAUCACGACUCCUCGCGGGGCCAUUACUCGCGUCGCUCCGCACGCGCAGGUUCUGGCCUGGCUUUCAGCAACUCCCCCAGCUCGCUAACCACUCGCUCGUAAUUUGUGGGCCGCGGUGGAGCUGCGCCCGCGGCUGCAGUCCCCAAAUGAAAGCACUUUUGCAGUCCCGGACACCCAUCGAGCUGCCUCCGCGCACGCCAGGCCGACACCUCCUGUUCGCGCUCCCCUCUCUCCGCCCAGCUCCUGGCAGCUGAAAUGGAUGUGAUUUCACGCACAUCCUGCGUACGCACACACGCGCUUCCCCUCCGACGCCGCCGGCACACGCGCACGAGCCUGGACGUUUUCUUUCUGUGCUCGCUUUGCGGGACAUGCUUUCCUGCUCCGGCUUCGCUCUUUUCGCUCCUUCACUUCCUCUUCCUUCGCCACUUUCCUCCCGAGUCCCCUGGCCUGGCUCAUUCCCCUCCACCGCCGCUGCCCUCGUGGUGCCCCUCGCCCUCUCUGCCCGGAGGAGAGGGGACCGUGGAGACGCGCCCUGCACGCCGAGCGAGGGCCGUGCUGCGCGCGCGGCUGGGACCGCAGGGCUGGCCUCUGGCCUGCGCCCUGUUUGUUUUCCCUUCGCCCCCUGAAUGCUAGAUUAAGACGUAAAGAUUACCGGGGCCGAAUAAUGCCGGGAGUCAACACUCGAGCAAACAAAAGUGCUUGCACAACUCCGCCAACCCCGCUGGGACCCGGGCCGCGGGCUUGGGGGAGAGAACGCGCUCCUCGCUGCUAAUUACAAAUAAAUGAUGAUGUGCU